rnacentral:lncRNA from 1 species
UAUAAAUUCCAAUUAUCGGGCCAUUAACAUCGUAACGCGAUUAUUUCGCUCGACGUUACAGCAUUUCGUUCGGAAUACCGAAUCGGUGAUAAAGUGAUACGAUAAAUCGGCCCCUGAUUGCACUCCACUUGCAUUCGACCUACACUAGAAACUAUCGUCACCACCAAUCACAUAUGCAACGUUUUAUCGAAAAUAGAGCUUUGAUCCUUUAUUACAUUUUUACAAGCGAUUACAUUGGCCGGCCGGCCGGCCGGCCUCUGGCGAUUCUCGAAGAUGAGAAAGAAGAAGAAGAAGAAUUAGUAACAGAA